rnacentral:rRNA from 1 species
UAGGGAAUCUUCCGCAAUGGGCGAAAGCCUGACGGAGCAACGCCGCGUGAGUGAUGAAGGUCUUCAGAUCGUAAAACUCUGUUAUUAGGGAAGAACAAAUGUGUAAGUAACUAUGCACGUCUUGACGGUACCUAAUCAGAAAGCCACGGCUAACUACGUGCCAGCAGCCGCGGUAAUACGUAGGUGGCAAGCGUUAUCCGGAAUUAUUGGGCGUAAAGCGCGCGUAGGCGGUUUUUUAAGUCUGAUGUGAAAGCCCACGGCUCAACCGUGGAGGGUCAUUGGAAACUGGAAAACUUGAGUGCAGAAGAGGAAAGUGGAAUUCCAUGUGUAGCGGUGAAAUGCGCAGAGAUAUGGAGGAACACCAGUGGCGAAGGCGACUUUCUGGUCUGUAACUGACGCUGAUGUGCGAAAGCGUGGGGAUCAAACAGG